CAGCUUGUGGCGAGCUGUUGGGGAGUAACGACCCCACGGACCCGAGUGCUCCCGAGAGUCGGUCAGGGUCUCCGUCUCCGGCGUGUCUUCGUCGGUCGGAGUGGACCCCAAGGGGACCCGCAGGACUCUCAGCUCUGGCUUGCCUUCAUUGGCCGUCCAGAGAGGAGUCGCUAGAGCUAUAUGCUCCAGGGGUGGAAGUGAAAGAUGCAUAAGACGCGAGUUGGCACAGAGGCUGGUAACAGUCACUGGGUAGAAAGCGGCGCACACCUCUCGACACCCCUGAGCCGCUCACACCGAUGUUGCUCCUGGUCGUCUUCGCGACGGCAGUUUCAGGGGCCCAUCUAGUCAGCGGCGAGUCACCGCCUGCCUCGAUAACGUGUGUUAGCAUUGUUAUGGCAGGUGUCCGGACCUCUUUACAAUAGCCCAGUCUCAUAGUCCACCUAAACUUCAAUCCAUAGACCGGUAUACUGUUCUCUUUUUCUACAAUAGUCCCAAUGCCUGCUGAGACCGGUUCACGGGUGUCUAUUGUUGCACCUGUGAACGGGUUCCAGCAGGCGUUCUACAUGACAUUAAAGCUCUCCAAAGGGCCUCUACGUGUUGGAUCUAUAUCCCCACGCAAGCCUAUCAAAAGACCGGGAUUUACAGGCCCGUGAUUCCAAAAAAGGAGAUACAAUAAUAAUAAUAAUAAGCCCGCAGGGCAGCUUGUGGCGAGCUGUUGGGGAGUAACGACCCCACGGACCCGAGUGCUCCCGAGAGUCGGUCAGGGUCUCCGUCUCCGGCGUGUCUUCAUCGGUCGGAGUGGACCCCAAGGGGACCCGCAGGACUCUCAGCUCUGGCUUGCCUUCAUUGGCCGUCCAGAGAGGAGUCGUUAGAGCUAUAUGCUCCAGGGGUGGAAGUGAAAGAUGCAUAAGACGCGAGUUGGCACAGUGGCUGGUAAUAGCCACUGGGUAGAAAGCGGCGCACACCUCUCGACACCCCUGAGCCGCUUACACCGAUGUUGCUCCUGGUCGUCUUCGCGACGGCAGUUUCAGGGGCCCAUCUAGUCAGCGGCAAGUCACCACCUGCCUCGAUAACGUGUUUUAGCAUUGUUAUGGCAGGUGUCCGGACUUCUCUACAAUAGCCCAGUCUCAUUGUCCAUCCAAACUUCAAUCCAUAGACCGGUAUACUAUUCACUUUUUCUACAAUAGUCCCAAUGCCUGCUGCGACCGGUUCAUGGGUGUUUAUUGUUGCGCCUGUGAACGGGUUCCAGCAGGCGUUCUACAUGACAUUAAAGCUCUCCAAGGGGCCUCUACGUGUUGGAUCUAUAUCCCCACGCAAGCCUAUCAAAAGACCGGGAUUUGUAGGCCCGUGAAUUCCAAAAUGGAGAAACAAAUAAUAAUAAUAAUAAAAAUUUAUUUAUUAAGGCAUAAACCCAUUACAUUUCAUUACAAUAAUAAACUAAACUAAAAAUUAAAGCUAUAAACUACAACUAAAAAAAGUAGGUACCAAUUAUAUAGGUGCAGCGGAAAUCUUGCUCUUACAGUAGCAGGUUGUGUACACUACAUUAACAAUGCUGUUCGUCGAUUCACUCACUCUCCCGACAAACGACCAGUGCCUUUUACGCAU